CUUUGUAAUGCAUGGGAAUCCUUGCAGGCACGACUCAGACCCCUCACUUCUGAAACAAAUAUGUAGCACAGGAAAGAGAGGAAAAUCAGACACCCGAGCAACGAAGGCUACCAAAAGAAGCUAUUAAAUAAUCAUACAAACUGCUGUCCCUGAUGGCAGCAAAGAAACCUAAUCAUGCGAAUUAUUUAAGAAAACCAGAAGCGCAUAUGUCUGUUAACCAGGAUCACGCUGGAGGCUGAGAUCAGAGAACAAUGAAUGUGCCCAAGGAUCCAGGAAAUCACCCCGACAGAGGAAAGGGAUGGUUGCAGGAGGAAGAAAAGUGUUCUUCAAAGAGUAAGGUGAGACACCAUGAAGAUCUGGACAGCAAGCCAGUAGGGGUUAGAUGUGCUGAGAAAUACAAGGAACAGAUGGGAGAUGGGGAAGAUGCUCAAAUACUGUAGGGCAUUUAGAAUGCUGUGUGAGGAGAAGCAAAAGGCCUCUCUGCUCAUGAGGAAGACACCUGACGGUCAGAUUGUGACAUCAGCUAUCCAAUGGCAUUUCAUGAAACUUGCAGCAUUUUCCAGACAAUCAACAUUUCAUACUAAAAUACAAAAAGUAUUGAAACAA